UCAAGGAAUAGUUUAAUUUUAGAAUUCUAGCUUUGGGAGUUAGCGGUAGGGGUUCAAAUCCCUUUUCUUUGAGC
rnacentral:tRNA from 1 species